GGGGAGGGAAAAGCUCCUCCGCUCCCCAAACAGAAAACGGCUGCUGGUUCCCCUCUCCUUGGCAUUAAUCUCUGUCCCUCCUGGGAAAUUGUGCCACGAUAAAUCUUUAUUUCUCAUGAUGGCUUGCCAGGUUUAAUAAUGAUUUCGCGGGGGAUGGGAGAUGCCGGCGAGCCGGAGCACGGGCUGGAGGAUGCUCCGCUCCUCCGGCACACACCGACAGGCACCCCUGCUAUCCUGGAAUUUAUUCAGUACCCACGUGGAACUGAAUGGAGUGAAAUGUGGGUCUUCAGACCCUCCCCUCGGAAGAGCUGCAGGGUCUCUCCAUGUGUGGGAAUGUAGGAAUUGAGCAGUGCCGGGGAGUUCUAUUGUUUUCUAACUCAAUAGAAGCCAUUUGUAGAACUGUGCUUACGAACGAUGGAAUUUGUACUUAGUUCCUGCAGUAUGCGACUGGCAAACAUGAACAAUUGAGUUUUCCCUUAUUUGUGGAAGUAACUGAAUGGCCAAAUCCAAUUACUCCUGGAAAUUCUGCCACUAUGCAGAGAGCAGCCUGAGCUUCUCUCCAAGGCGGAGUGGCUGGUGCUCCUGGGGAGCUGCAGGAUGCUCAGGAUCCCGCUCUAGGCCAUUCCACCCCUGCUUCUCUCUCACCCGCUGUGAGGAGCAGGGAGUUGAGAAUAGACAUUAAAUGCCCGAUGAAAACGCGACCUACGGCUGAGGAAGAUGAGAAGAAGAUGCUGCACAGGGAGAGUAGGGCUGUUGGGUCUCACCCCAGGAGCUGUGACAGCUGCCAUAUGUCCCCUUGACGAGCAGCCCACCAAGCUGAUGCCAAGCUGGUGGGAUCCACCUCCUGUCCCACCUGCCCGGCAGUCAGGGCUCCGCUUGCCCUGCAGCCAGCACAGCAGAACAGCUUCGGCCGGAUGAGCACCAACUGUUUUUGCAGGGAGUUACUAUAGAAACUAUCUCAACGCCUCUUUUUGUGCAGCCUCGUUGCUGCUAAUAAAUAGCCUCAUUAUUUUGCAAAAAGUGCUCGGGAAACAGGGAGCAGCAUGACUUGGGCCAAGGCAGAAUUAAUGGUCGAAAAUAGUGGGGCCAUUUUUCCCUGUGCCGUGAAAAGCGGGGAGGCCGGGGCUCCAUUAGGGAGAGUUAUGGCUCAUUUCUCUGCUUCUGCUGUAUUUAUGUUUUAUGUAUUCAAAAGUGAUUUCAGCCACAAUCCCAAAUUACCAAUUCCCACAUUACAUUAAACGGCUGUGAACAGCAAUGCCUCCUGCCUAUCAAAAUAAACCAGUGAGUGCCGUGCAGGGAGCCAGCUCCUCCCUGGUGCUUGCCAGCACAGCUAGAGGGACAGUGUUCUAGGGGUUGCCAGGCUGAUGCCAGGGACAUCACCAGUGCCCAAGGCAGAUUAUCCCUGAUUUCCAACCUCAGCAGUCAUAGACAUCUUCAUUUCUCUGCCCAGAGCCUUAAACUGAAACAUUUCCUUUUCCCUUCAAGCCCCAGUGCCCCUGAGCAGCCCCAGAGAGGAUCAUUAAAAUAUUAACAGGAAUAACACAAUAACAGGAAUAAUACAACCCUCCAGAGAGAAGCUAAACCACACAUCACUCUUUAUGUACUCACAGGUCCUGUUGAUUCUGUCUGUUAAUGCCAUCCCUCUCCCAGCUGGAGAUGUGUUCCAUCCAGGCAGGGCUGGCCUCUGGAAUAUACUGGGGAGUGUACAGGCUUGUGGAGUUUGCACUGGGGUCUUGGAUCUUUGUGGGCAUCAGCCCUCUGCCUGAUCAGGACCAUCAUCAGCCCAUGGUUCACACCCAGACCACACUUAGCACAUCCCGCUGGUUCUGGAGACUCCCCCAGUUUCUCUGGAUCUGAGUAGUCUUAUCUGACUCGGGUCCAAGAUCCAGCUUGCUUGGUCACCUGAAAAACCUCUGGAUUUGUAUACAGGCUUCAUUACAAAUACCACCUGCAUCCUCUGACCCACAUGUAGUCCCACUAACAGUCCUAUUCACAGUCCUACUCACAGUCCUACAUGCAGUUCAGCAGCAAGUCAUUCUGGUGCUUGAAAAUGGAGUGAUUUUAGGGAAAAGCUCCACUGCCAGCUCUUGGACCAUGGUUUUCUGACAGAUCUUUAUCUGCCUCUCACCAUGGGGAGCAUGACAGCUCUGAUGGUUGGGAUGGGGUUUGCACUGCCCUGCCUGCAGCUGCCUGACUCCUACUAAAUGGCAUAUUAUCACUCAUGGAUCUUAGAGGCAAAUAUUGCCCAGGAGAAGAUGAGUUGGAUAUUUACCGUACGGGAGGCUGGAAGCUGGCAGUGCCCACAGCAAACCCCCAGCGUGAGCAGCAGAUGUCUUUGACUGCCCCUGCUGUGCCUGCAGUCAGGGGCAGCUUCCCCAUCCACCCACUUACAAAAUCUCUCACAGCCACAGAGUUUCCUCUCCCUUGCUCAGGAAAAGCCGGACGUCACUGUGAUAUUCUCAUGCCACGUCUGUGUGUGUUGCCAUUUUUGUGAAGAUCUGAAAGAAAACUAGAACUGAUCACGCUGGUUUGCCCCUGGCAGGAGCCACCACAGACAAAUAGGAAACACAGCUCUCCACAGCUCUUCUCGGGGAUCAAACUAAUGACUUGCAUGGUGUAGACCCAACAUCGCGAUGGGAGGCAGCCAGGCAUCAGCGAAAACGAUGGGGAAUAGAAUGAAUCAUUUGUCUUCCCUGAGAAGGAAGAGUGAGAAACACAGCCCCUUAACUCUUCCACAGCCACCUGCCACUGCUGCUGGUGUUCCCAGGGUCCCUGACGGACUGGCAGGAGGGAGAAAAGGAGCACAGGAGACAGAUGAAAGGACAUCACCAUGCUGGCAUGUCCCCGUUUUUAGGAUGGAUGCGGACUUGCUCUCCAGAACAGGCUGGCUGUCAGCAAUUGCUUAUUUUGCUGUUAACAACGCAGAACCACUUAUGGAAAAGAAUUUCACUUCCUUGAUAAUGCUAAUAAAGUGAAUUUGGCUUUG